rnacentral:lncRNA from 1 species
AACUUUAGUCUAUUAUGAAAUUUCCAACUUAUACAUUCGAUGCCGAAACCUAUCGAAUCAAAUCCAAUUGACCUCAAAUUUUGCACACAAGUCAUAAAUAACAUAACGAACCUAUUCCAGUUUCCGAAAUUGGAUUCUGACCCCUAUAUCAAAAAGUCAACCCCCGGUCAAACUUUUCAAAAAUUUAACUUUCGUCAUUUCAAGCCUAAUUCUACUACGGGACUCCAAAUAAUUUUUCGGGCGCGCUCCUAAGUCCAAGAUAACCAUACGGAGCUAUUGGAAUCAUCAAAAUUUAAUUCCUAGGACGUUUACACAUGAGUGAAUAUCCGGUCAACUUUUUCAACUUAAGUUUUCAAUUAUGAGACUAAGUAUCUCAUUUCACUCCGAAAUCCUUCCGAACCCGAACCAACUAACCUGAUAAGUCAUAAAUCAACUGUAAGAUAUAAAUUGAGUAGUAAAUAGGGGAACAGGGCUGUGAUACUUAAAAUGGCCGAUCGGGUCAUUACAAUACUCAAAUAUAGGCAGCAUGUAUUUGACAAUGAGAUAUAUAGGUUGAGAUACAACUAAACAUGUGAAAUCAACUACAAUUCUUGUCACGAAAUUGCUAUGGAGACCAUCUGUCCUUAACGUGCAAAUCCAUAAAAGGUUUUAAGUCUUUAACAUAUCAAAACUAACAUCCAUUCAUGUUCAAAACAGAACAAAUAGUCAAUUUACACAAUCACAACAAAUAACUUUAAAGAAUAACCAACAUUUCAUUGCAAAUCAAAACAGAGGUACAUGUGUGAGAUGUGUACCUAAACUCGUAAACAAGCUGAACUUUUGCUAAAUAAAGGCUAAGGAAAUAGCUAACAUGUGAGCUAAAAACAAAUCAGCAGUAGAAGGCAGAAGAAAUAACCUCAAAUCUCAGCUAAACAACAGAGUGACAACAGUACAGUUUUUCAGCAACUCGAUGCAAUUUUGAAGAAACCAGAAGUUGAAUAGCAAAUCAAACAGAGAAAACAACUUGGGAAAACCUUGAUAGAAUUUUCAGAGUGUUUUCUUUGAGAAAUCAGUGUAAAAUGAAGAGAGGAUUGUGAAGUUUUGGUCGAGAAUUCCCUGUCUGUUUAUGAGGGAAUGUGAGUCCUUAUACAGAAUGUAAGGGUGUGCUAUAUGAGAGUAAAAAUCAGAGAGUGUAGGGAAUCUGUCAGGCACCCUAAAAAUUAGGAAAAUUGCAUUUUUCUUAACAGAAUUGGACAGUUAUCCUAUUUUACCAUCUUUUUUUAACAGUUGUCCUUUUUUCUAUUUUUCACCAUCUCUCCUAAUUUUUCUUAUUUUCAAUUAACUCCAUAAAGUUUUUAAUAUUUACAAAAAGCUAUAAUAAGAAAACCAGGCGAAUCCAAAGAUCGAAACAAAGCCAACCAUAUGCAAAUCAACCUAACAAGUAAUUUUAACAUAUAAAUUGCUUCAAUGUCUGAACUAAUCUAAAAUCAAUUAACCUAAAUUUAUGCAAUUAAACUAACUACCAUGAGAUUACAUCUCUAAACAAAAUCCAAAAUUAAUUAAUCUUAACUCCUAAUUGGUCUGAAACAUGUUUAACAUAUGAGAAAACAACACAUUUUGAGAAAAAUUGGAAAAAUAGAAGAGCUGCUUGGUCGAAGAGGAAAGAAAGAAUAAAAAGAAAAGAAAGGAAAAGGAAUUACCUACUGAUCAUACAACAAAGAAUUUUUCGAAGAAUAUGGCGAUUUGAUCAAAUCUGAUGUCUUCGAAACGUGGCGAAAUUAUCAUCAUUCGAUUGUUCUCGUUGAGAAUAAUCAAACAAUGCAAAUUUCGGACCGAAUCAAGUCUUGAAAACUUUGAAAAAUCGAACAAGGCGAACUAGGGUUUCUUGGUAUUCUUAGAUCCGGGAUUCACAGUAAUUAUGUGGUUUUCUGGGGGAAUUGAUGAGAGAUUAGGGAUUAAGCGGAUGUGAGGGUUGUAGGAUGAAGUUUUGAAGGUGUUUGGAAAUGAGCCGCCGAGGUGGAUUUUUGGGGUGGCUAGGGUUUUGAGAGGAUUUGGGAGAGAUGAGAGUGAAGUGAGGAUUCUCUUAAGGUUUUUUGUUUUUUUUGGGGGGGGGG